CCUACGGGUGGCAGCAGUGAGGAAUAUUGGUCAAUGGACGAGAGUCUGAACCAGCCAAGUAGCGUGAAGGAUGACUGCCCUAUGGGUUGUAAACUUCUUUUAUAUGGGAGUAAAACAGGGUAUGCAUACCCUCUUGUAUGUACCAUAUGAAUAAGGAUCGGCUAACUCCGUGCCAGCAGCCGCGGUCAUACGUAGGAUCCGAGCAUUAUCCGGAGUGUCUGGGUGUAAAGAGUUGCGUAGGUGGCAUAAUAAGUAGCUAGUGAAAUCUGGUGGCGCAACCAUUCAGACUAUUAUCGAAACUGUUAAGCUCGAGUCCGUUAGAGGUAAGUGGAAUGUCUAGUGUAGGGGUGAAAUGCGUAGAUAUUAGAAGGAACACCAAUAGCGAAGGCAGGUUGCUGGGACGGUUCUGACACUAAGGCACGAAAGCGUAGGGAGCAAACGGGAUUAGAUACCCCUGUAGUC
rnacentral:rRNA from 1 species